UGGAUUGCAGAAUCUCACUUCUCUAGAGUCCUUGGAGAUAGUUGAGUGCCAUAGUCUUGUCUCCUUGCCGGAAGAUAUACAAGGUCUGAGAUCUCUGCGAUCUCUGUCCAUUGAGAAUUGCAAUAACCUCACAUCUCUGCCACUUGAACUUCAAUUUCCAGCGCCACUUGAGCAUCUAACUGUCAUGUACUGUCCACAAUUGGCUGCCUUGCCUGAUGAUUUUCAACAUCCAUGUGCUCUUGGAAGUUUGUCCAUUUUAAAUCUUCCAAAGCUGUCAUCUCUUCCACAGGGCCUACAAUAUGUUACCACCUUGCAAAAUUUGGAAAUUCGUGGCUGUCCUAGUUUGAAAGCAUUGCCAGAGUGGUUAGUCAACCUUACCUUACUUCGUGUCAAAAUUUAAAAUCUCUGCCUGAAGGAUUUCAGCAUUUAAGUUCCCUUCAGCAUUUGUCUAUUCAAGAAUGUUCUAUCCUGGAGGAACGAUGCAGAAGGGAUGUUGGUGAGGAUUGGCCAAAAAUAGCUCACAUAGCACAUUUCCAUAUGGGAUCACAAGAGCACAGAGAUUACAGUGCCACAAGCAGUUCAACUCAUUGAAAUUAAUUAUAUGUUUAAUCAUCAUGUAUGCAGUUCCACCCACGUCGCUUAUUCUGAUUUGGACUUUCUUUCUUUCUUUUUUAAAUGACUUUCAGUUAUCAAUUUAGUCCUCAUAUUUCUUUCUUGCUUUCCUCAUUGACUUUCAGUUAGCAAUUUAGUCCUCAUUAUCAUAAUCUUAAGUUAAUUAAGGAGACGCUUAACUUCAAUUAAAACAAAUUUCAUUGCAGUCAAAAUACUGAUUUACAGAUAAAUUGCCUUAAUGUCAAGACAAAAUUGCAGGUGCAAGCUGGUCAUCCAUUUUGCUUAGACAGGCCCAGGAAAUUAUGCAUUACACAUUGUUUGACAUGGUUCACUUAUUCUAGCAUUUUUGUAUGAAGUCAUUUUCUCUUUUCCGCUUAUAAACAUAAUGCUUCUGAAAAUGCAGUGGACUCAUAUAAUACUCUGUUGACCUAGAACUCAUUUGUGAAUCUGUUGGUUAAUUGAUCUGAGUUGAAAAAGGUCAUGUUUAUAGGCGGCUGCUGGUAGCCACCACUGCUAUUUAGCAGUAACAUCUGAAGAUUUUGUUAUUGGAACUCUUUUGAUUAUAAACAAAUAAAAUUGGCAUAUAUCAUUUUUUUGAAGCCAUUGGACUUAUAGCUCUAUGAUUAAGUGCCUACUUCAUAGUACGAGAGAGGUUAAGGGUUCACAUCUCACAAUGCCUCUGCUUGAAAAUUUUCCAUUGUGCCGCAAAAAGAAAUUCUAACACAUGCUGUUAAUUUCCAUGGAGGCUUCAAGACACUUGUAAUUGUCUUGAUAAAUUGAGGAAUGUCCUACCUAAUAUUUCGGCAUGUCAUGUGCUUAGGCCUUAGAGAAUGCAACUCUUGCUGAUUGCUUGGCUACACAAGGAGUAAGAAGAUAUUCUGAGUUCGUGGCCUGGCUCCAAUGAGGUGAAGGUAAUUUCUGUCUCCAGCAAUUUGUUUUCAUUAGUUGUUGGAUGGUUGGAUGUGCUGAUUCUUUUUCUGGUUAUGUUUGGUGUUACUUGUUGAUUUGCUGUCAUUUAAAUUCAAGCAUGGGUUCUUGGAGUCUUUAUGCCUUGGAAUUUUGGAACAGAUUUUUGAGUGCCAAAAUCAUGGAGGAAUUUUUUUAUGGUAUAGCGUCUUCUUUCUGCAGCAGAAGCUUUCUCUGGGAUACAGGGUAUUUUAAUUAUUUUUCACAGCAGUAUGCAUUAGCAUUUGUUGGCAUCCAAUCAAUCCUCGCUACCAGUUACCAUCCACAAUACAUUAGUCCAGAAGUCAAUGAAAUUUACAAGAGGCAUAGUUAACAAUUUUCAGAAGUUAUUAUUCUUGAAAACAGACUACUGAUAUGCUGAUAGUAAUUUCAUCUGAAAUUGGGUGGGUACAGUAAAAACUGUGGUAAAAUAAAGAGCACUAGCAGAUUUGUAAGAUUAGAUAAAAUUCUACAUAAUUUGUUAAAAUUUGCUAAUCAAAUCUACAUAAUUCUUCUCCAUUCUCCUGUCGCUGAUCAAUAGAAUAUGAUGAACAUGCUCACAAGGUAGAAUUUGGCUGCUUCAAGACAAAUAACACAUAAUUCCCAUUUUAUGCUAAUGUUCAACUGUUUAUUAACCGAUAAUAUCCUUCCUAUAGUCAAUGAAAUGUUUAGUUUGUUGUCCAUCAUCAACCAGCUAUUCAUUUGGUGGCUUGUGUGUCAGGGACACAGGCGACACUAUGUUGGGGUGCCGCCGGUGCGGCGUUUGGUGGAGAUGUAUAUAUAUAUAUAUAUUCAAAGGUUUCAUUAUAUGUUUGAAUGGAAGAGAUUUGGAAUUUGACUGGGGAGCAUAACUCCGUCGAGAGAAUGGAUUUCAGUCCGAUUAAACAUUUUGUUCGGCGCUAGUUUUCCUUACAGCUGACGUCACGAAUGAUGGGAAAUGUUUCAUGCGGUUUAUGUACGAGGAAAAUUUUUCCUCUCUUGUAUGGAAGACAAGGAAACUUUUUCCUUCAUUAGGAAAACGUUUAUAUCGUUAAUUAGUUGCAAGAAAAACUUUUCAUCCGACAAGGGCAAAGUUCAAAUCACCGGAAAACGGAUGUGUUAAAAUUUCUCACCACUGUUA
rnacentral:misc_RNA from 1 species